GAUGAACGCUGGCGGCGUGCCUAAUACAUGCCAGUCGAGCGAACAGACGAGGAGCUUGCUCCUCUGACGUUAGCGGCGGACGGGUGAGUAACACGUGGAUAACCUACCUAUAAGACUGGGAUAACUUCGGGAAACCGGAGCUAAUACCGGAUAAUAUAUUGAACCGCAUGGUUCAAUAGUGAAAGACGGUUUUGCUGUCACUUAUAGAUGGAUCCGCGCUGCAUUAGCUAGUUGGUAAGGUAACGGCUUACCAAGGCAACGAUGCGUAGCCGACCUGAGAGGGUGAUCGGCCACACUGGAACUGAGACACGGUCCAGACUCCUACGGGAGGCAGCAGUAGGGAAUCUUCCGCAAUGGGCGAAAGCCUGACGGAGCAACGCCGCGUGAGUGAUGAAGGUCUUCGGAUCGUAAAACUCUGUUAUUAGGGAAGAACAAAUGUGUAAGUAACUAUGCACAUCUUGACGGUACCUAAUCAGAAAGCCACGGCUAACUACGUG
rnacentral:rRNA from 1 species